rnacentral:rRNA from 1 species
ACAGGGAUUGCCCUAGUAACGGCGAGUGAAGCGGCAACAGCUCAAAUUUGAAAUCUGGCUCUUUUAGAGUCCGAGUUGUAAUUUGCAGAGGGCGCUUUGGCGUUGGCAGCGGUCCAAGUUCCUUGGAACAGGACGUCACAGAGGGUGAGAAUCCCGUACGUGGUCGCUGGCCUUCGCCGUGUAAAGCCCCUUCGACGAGUCGAGUUGUUUGGGAAUGCAGCUCUAAAUGGGAGGUAAAUUUCUUCUAAAGCUAAAUACUGGCCAGAGACCGAUAGCGCACAAGUAGAGUGAUCGAAAGAUGAAAAGCACUUUGGAAAGAGAGUCAAAUAGCACGUGAAAUUGUUGAAAGGGAAGCGCUUGCAGCCAGACUUGCCUGUAGUUGCUCAUCCGGGCUUUUGCCCGGUGCACUCUUCUAUAGGCAGGCCAGCAUCAGUUUGGGCGGUUGGAUAAAGGUCUCUGUCAUGUACCUCUCUUCGGGGAGGCCUUAUAGGGGAGACGACAUGCAACCAGCCUGGACUGAGGUCCGCGCAUUUGCUAGGAUGCUGGCGUAAUGGCUGUAAGCGGCCCGUCUUGAAACACGGACCAAGGAGUCUAACAUCUAUGCGAGUGUUUGGGUGUCAAGCCCGAACGCGUAAUGAAAGUGAACGGAGGUGGGAACCCUUUAGGGUGCACCAUCGACCGAUCCUGAUGUCUUCGGAAGGAUUUGAGUAAGAGCAUGGCUGUUGGGACCCGAAAGAUGGUGAACUAUGCUUGAAUAGGGUGAAGCCAGAGGAAACUCUGGUGGAGGCUCGCAGCGGUUCUGACGUGCAAAUCGAUCGUCAAAUUGGGCAUAGGGGCGAAAGACUAAUCGAACUAUCUAGUACCUGAUUCCUGCC